rnacentral:rRNA from 1 species
GAUAUUGCACAAUGGACGGAAGUCUGAUGCAGCGACGCCGCGUGGGCGAAGAAGGUUUUCGGAUCGUAAAGUCCUUUUCUAUGUGACGAGAUAGGACGGUAGCAUAGGAAUAAGUGUCGGCUAACUACGUGCCAGCAGCCGCGGUAAAACGUAGGACGCGAACGUUAUCCGGAGUUACUGGGCGUAAAGCGCGCGUAGGCGGUUGGACAAGUCUUCUAUGAAAGUUACCGGCUAAACUGGUAGAGUGUAGGAGAAACUGUUUGACUAGAGAGAAAUAGAGGGAAGUAGAAUUCCGGGUGUAGUGGUGAAAUGCGUAGAUAUCCGGAGGAAUACCGGUGGCGAAGGCGGCUUCCUGGAUUUCCACUGACGCUGAUGCGCGAAAGCGUGGGUAGCGAACGGGAUUAGAAACCCCGGUAGUCCACGCUGUA